UGGGGAAUAUUGCACAAUGGGCGAAAGCCUGAUGCAGCGACGCCGCGUGAGGGAUGACGGCCUUCGGGUUGUAAACAUCUUUCAGCAGGGACGAAGCGCAAGUGACGGUACCUGCAGAAGAAGCACCGGCUAACUACGUGCCAGCAGCCGCGGUAAUACGUAGGGUGCAAGCGUUGUCCGGAAUUACUGGGCGUAAAGAGUUCGUAGGCGGUUUGUCGCGUCGUUUGUGAAAACCAGCAGCUCAACUGCUGGCUUGCAGGCGAUACGGGCAGACUUGAGUACUGCAGGGGAGACUGGAAUUCCUGGUGUAGCGGUGAAAUGCGCAGAUAUCAGGAGGAACACCGGUGGCGAAGGCGGGUCUCUGGGCAGUAACUGACGCUGAGGAACGAAAGCGUGGGUAGCGAACAGG
rnacentral:rRNA from 1 species